rnacentral:rRNA from 1 species
GAUGAACGCUGGCGGCGUGCUUAACACAUGCAAGUCGAACGGUGAAGCAGAGCUUGCUCUGUUGAUCAGUGGCGAACGGGUGAGUAACACGUAAGCAACCUGCCCCUGACACUGGGAUAAGCUCUCGAAACGGCGUCUACUACUGUACCUGGGCUGCGCCCCCAUUGUCAGCAGUUGGUAAGAUUUUUCGUCCUGAGAUGAGCUGACGGCCUAUCAUCUUGUUGUUGGGGUAAUGGCUCACCAAGGCGUCGACGGGUAGUCGGCCUGAGAGGGUGACCGUCCACACUGGGACUGAGAGACGGCGCAGACUGGUACGGGAGGCAGCAGUGGGGAGUAUUGCACAAUGGGAGAGAGCCGGAUGAAGCGACGCCGCGGGAGGGAUGACGGCCUUCGGGUUAUAAACCCCUUUUAGCAGGGAAGAAGCGAAAGUGACGGUACCUGAAGAAAAAGCGCCGGCUAACUACGUG